rnacentral:piRNA from 1 species
UGGCUCAGGUAGACAUACCCUUUAGUCCCUGU